ensembl:snRNA U1 U1 spliceosomal RNA
UGGCGCACCUGUGGACUCGCGGCCAAUCGGGGCAGGCCGGGCUGUCUAAAGUCUACAGCGGCCAUUUGCACGGCGCUCGGGCCGGCGCGUCUGCGAAUUCCCAAAUGCGGAAUCUCGACUGCAUAAAUUUAUGGUAGUGGGGGACUGCGUUCGCGCUCUCCCCUG